CAAAACCGGGAGUACGCUCGUAGAUGUCUUGCGGGACGCUGCUUCGGACGCGAGUUCGAUUCUCGCCGCCUCCACCA
rnacentral:tmRNA from 1 species